AAAAAAAAAUCAAUUUUGGCAAUUCGCGUAACCUAAUUUCUUCCCAAUUAUUAUAUUUUUUGACCAGUGGCGAGUGUUGAAAGUUAGCAACAUUGUUUUUCCUAGGUAUAUAAUAGGUGUGAAGAAAAUACCUAUUGGUGUGAAGAAAAUACCUAUUGGUGUGAAAAAAAUACCUAUUGGUGUGAAGAAAAUAUCUAUCGGUGCACAGAGAAAAAAACUUCGUGCAUGGGACCCGAAGUUGAGGUCAUAUGGAUCUCUGAUGUUUUCUGAUCACGCAUCCGAAAACUUGAGGCCGAGCUGCCGAAGUUCAGGUCAGACAUCGAAGCACUUCGUUAUGCACCGGAGGACUUCAGAUGUGUGACCAGAACCCUUCGGUACAUAUCGAGGUGCUUCAAAUGUCUGACCCGAACUUCGGCAGCUGGACCUCAAGUUUUUAGAUACGUGAUCCGAAAACUUCAGAGAUCCAUAUGACCUCAACUUCGGGUCCCACGCACGAAGUUUUUUUCGCCGUGUGUGAAGAAAGUACUAAUGGGUGUGAAGAAAAUACCCAUCGGUGUGAAGAAAAUACCUAUCGGUGUACAAAAAAUACCUGAAGAAAAAUGCUAGGAAUGAAGAAAAUACCUAAUGGUGUGAAGAAAGUACCUAUUGGUGUGAAGAAUAUACCUAUUGGUUCAAACUUUUGUGUUCAAACCUAUUUGACAACUCGGUGAUCAUCCAUCGUUUGGCACUUUUCCUCGUAACCUAAAAUCUUUUUGAGAUGUUCAGUAUCUUUUCUUGUCUCCUUGUCCUUUUAUUUUCGAGCGAUCGAAACCUCGAAAGCACUGCCAAAGAAUUUACCUGAAGCCGCUUGCUCGCUCUGGGAUGUCCGUUCACUUAACCAUCACGCAAGACGCCCGCGAAAGCAGACCGAUCCGGAGAACAAUAGGCGAGAGACGCGAACUUCGAUUGACAGGGCACGUCUGGUCGUCUGCGAGACGUCUCAGACGUGGGCCCCGCCGAAAAUACACCGAGUUAUCAGUGGCGUGGCGUACUUAGCGAUAUAUCGAUUUACCUGCCACUUGAGCCUACGAAAAAGGAUCGAUGGACAGAAAUUUCGCACCGAACACCUCACUAAUCGAUUCUUUAUCGCAACUUCAAUUGGGAAAAUAUCGAUAAUCGAUCAUCCACGCCUCAGUGUUAUCCUCAGUUGCCGGCUUAAAUCGUCGUUAAUCAACCUGAUUUCGAGCAAUGAAAAUACAUGGUUGCAGAUGCGGCAAUCAACAUCACCGAAGUCUUUACGCACGGGACAAAGUUGCCAAGUACCCCAUUGAGGUCACAAUUCUACAUGAUAGAAAUUCUGUUCAAAUAAAUUUGGCUUUCAAGUUUCUGGCGGCGGCACAAAAAGGGUGUGUGUUAUUAGUGCAGCCAACGUAAACACUGGAGGAGAUCGAUGGAGCUGUUCGCGGAACACAAAUACCUCUGGUCAAAAAUUGCCAAUCUGAGGAAGAAUUUCUGUGAGUCUCUCCAUCCAUCUAAUUACAGCGGACUCUCGAUAAUUCGAACCUUGAUAAUUCGAAUUCCUCGCUA
rnacentral:lncRNA from 1 species